UACGUAGGGGGCUAGCGUUGUCCGGAAUUAUUGGGCGUAAAGAGCUCGUAGGCGGUUUGUCGCGUCUGCUGUGAAAACCUAAGGCUCAACCUUGGGCUUGCAGUGGGUACGGGCAGACUAGAGUGCGGUAGGGGUGACUGGAAUUCCUGGUGUAGCGGUGGAAUGCGCAGAUAUCAGGAGGAACACCGAUGGCGAAGGCAGGUCACUGGGCCGCAACUGACGCUGAGGAGCGAAAGCAUGGGGAGCGAACAGG
rnacentral:rRNA from 1 species